CCUCUUUCAGCAAUAAUUCACGUGCCUCUUCUUUUGCUGUCUUUCCUUUGUCAGUUUUCUUUGCUAAUUUUCCAGUAUCUUUUUUCCCCACACCAGCAGCUUCUCUACCAGCUGGUUCUCUCUUGACGGAAUGAUUAGAACUGAUGAGAUCCAUGCCAUCCUGGUCCUCAUACAUCCGGAAACGGCCCUUUGCCUGUUUUGUGUUCUUAGCAGCAACAGACUCGGCAACAUAAACACCUUGUUCACUGGAAAGCAUUCCUUCAGGAGUAUGA
rnacentral:misc_RNA from 1 species